AACGUAGGUUCCGAGCGUUAUCCGGAUUUACUGGGCGUAAAGCGCGUUCAGGCGGUUUGGCAAGUCGGGCAUGAAAUCUCUCGGCUCAACCGGGAGAGGUUGUCCGAUACUUCCAGACUUGAGGGCAGUAGAGGGUGGUGGAAUUCCGGGUGUAGUGGUGAAAUGCGUAGAUAUCGGGAGGAACACCAGUGGCGAAGGCGAUCAUCUGGGGUUGUUCUGACACUGAGGAGCGAAAGCUAGGGGAGCAAACGGG
rnacentral:rRNA from 1 species